GAGGAAGAGUUAUCCGAUUGGGCAGCAGUUACACUAAAAUUCACUCCCGAACCUGGAAAGGUACUUGUUCUCGGGAUGCUUUGAAACUUAUGAAAAGCAUAAUUCUUCAUUGUUAGGCUCUAUUCGUGCUUGCUUUCUGGAGUUUCUUGCUUUGUGGUGGGGUUUGGGGGCAGUGAAGAUUAAAUAGGAAUCGAACUUCAUUGAAUUUGAAUGUGAAUCCCAGUUGGGCAACUACUACUACUGACCGGUAUAAUCUGCCUUAUUGAAAAUCGAUAAAUCGAAUCGAUAAGCCCCCAAAAUCGAUAAAUCGAAAUCG
rnacentral:lncRNA from 1 species